AUUGAACGCUGGCGGCAUGCCUUACACAUGCAAGUCGAACGGCAGCACGGGAGCAAUCCUGGUGGCGAGUGGCGAACGGGUGAGUAAUGUAUCGGAACGUGCCCAGUCGUGGGGGAUAACGCAGCGAAAGCGGUGCUAAUACCGCAUACGAUCUAUGGAUGAAAGCGGGGGGUCGCAAGACCGCGCGAGACUGGAGUGGCCGACAUCAGAUUAGCUAGUUGGGGGGGUAAAAGCUUAACAAGGCGACGAUCUGUAGCGGGUCUGAAAGGACGACCAGCCACACUUGAACUGAGACACGGUCCAGACUCCUACGGGAGGCAGCAGUGGGGAAUUUGGGACAAUGGGCGCAAGCCUGAUCCAGCAAUGCCGCGUGCAGGAUGAAGGCCUUCGGGUUGUAAACUGCUUUUGUACGGAGCGAAAAGGCUCUCUCUAAUACAGGGGGCUCAUGACGGUACCGUAAGAAUAAGCACCGGCUAACUACGUGCCAGCAGCAGCCGCGGUAA
rnacentral:rRNA from 1 species